CCUCGAGGACGACCUCAAGGUCGACGCCUAGAGGACGAGGACGACCUCA
rnacentral:ncRNA from 1 species